GAGUUUGAUCUUGGCUCAGAUUGAACGCUGGCGGCAUGCUUUACACAUGCAAGUCGAACGGGGUGAGGGGGCAACUCUUCAUUCAGUGGCGAACGGGGUGAGUAAUGCAUCGGAACGUGUCCCGCAGUGGGGGAUAACGCCGCGAAAGCGGCGCUAAUACCGCAUAUGCUCUACGGAGGAAAGCAGGGGACCUGUAAGGGCCUUGUGCUGGGGGAGCGGCCGAUGUCCGAUUAGCUUGUUGGUGGGGUAACGGCCUACCAAGGCUGCGAUCGGUAGCUGGUCUGAGAGGAUGAUCAGCCACACUGGACUGAGACACGGCCCAGACUCCUACGGGAGGCAGCAGUGGGGAAUUUUGGACAAUGGGGGCAACCCUGAUCCAGCCAUGCCGCGUGCGGGAGAAGGCCUGGUGUAACGCUUAGUCGGAGAAGACGAGUAGUACUCGUUU
rnacentral:rRNA from 1 species